UACAGAGGUCUCAAGCGUUGUUCGGAUUCAUUGGGCGUAAAGGGUGCGUAGGCGGCGCGGUAAGUCGGGUGUGAAAUCUUGGAGCUUAACUCCGAAACUGCAUUCGAUACUGCCGUGCUUGAGGACUGGAGAGGAGACUGGAAUUUACGGUGUAGCGGUGAAAUGCGUAGAUAUCGUAAGGAAGACCAGUGGCAAAGGCGGGUCUCUGGACAGUUCCUGACGCUGAGGCACGAAGGUCAGGGGAGCAAACGGG
rnacentral:rRNA from 1 species